rnacentral:rRNA from 1 species
UACGGAGGGUGCGAGCGUUGUCCGGAAUCACUGGGCGUAAAGGGCGCGUAGGCGGUCUCUCAAGUGGAUGGUGAAAUCCCCGGGCUUAACCUGGGAACUGCCGUCCAAACUGAGCGACUUGAGUCCGGGAGAGGUAAGUGGAAUUCCCAGUGUAGCGGUGAAAUGCGUAGAUAUUGGGAGGAACACCAGUGGCGAAGGCGGCUUACUGGACCGGAACUGACGCUGAGGCGCGAAAGCGUGGGGAGCAAACAGG